GCCGGGGUGGCGAAAUCGGCAGACGCAGCGGGCUUAAACCCCGCGGCCGCUCGCGCGGCGUGUGGGUUCGAAUCCCACCCCCGGCACCA
rnacentral:tRNA from 1 species